rnacentral:rRNA from 1 species
CCCUUAGAUGUUCUGGGCGGCCCGCGCACUACAUUGGCACUCUCAAUCAGAGCCUAGAUCAAAAACUUUGGGGUAUUCUAUGAAGAGGUGUCGUGACUGGGAUUAACCCUUGCAAUUAUUGGUUACGAACGAGGAAUUCCUUGUAAUCGCGGUUUAUCAGCCCGCGUUGAAUGCGUCCCUGCCCUUUGUACACACCGCCCGUCGCUCCUACCGAUGAAUCGUUCGGUGAAGUUCAUGGAGGGGCGGUUGUUUCAGCUGCCGUCGAAGUGAAAUGGACCUGACGAUGCUGGCGGUCCGCCGCCGGCGCUGUCGCUGGAAGAUCUUUAAACCUUAUCAUUUAGAGGAAGGAGAAGUCGUAACA